AUUGAACGCUGGCGGCAUGCCUUACACAUGCAAGUCGAACGGCAGCACGGGAGCAAUCCUGGUGGCGAGUGGCGAACGGGUGAGUAAUAUAUCGGAACGUGCCCGGUCGUGGGGAUAACGUAGCGAAAGCUACGCUAAUACCGCAUACGAUCUACGGAUGAAAGCGGGGGAUCGCAAGACCUCGCGCGAUUGGAGCGGCCGAUAUCAGAUUAGGUAGUUGGUGAGGUAAAGGCUCACCAAGCCGACGAUCUGUAGCUGGUCUGAGAGGACGACCAGCCACACUGGGACUGAGACACGGCCCAGACUCCUACGGGAGGCGAGCAGUGGGGAAUUUUGGACAAUGGGCGCAAGCCUGAUCCAGCGAAUGCCGCGUGCAGGA
rnacentral:rRNA from 1 species